GUGACGGUUUCGGGGAAGACACUAAGUGUCUUUCUUGAGAAGUUGUUGACUCCUAGCAAAAAUAAAUGGACACUCUACUAGAAAGGUAGUAAGGAAACUUACGGCCUCUGUCGAAGGAUUUCCUUGUGAAGAGUUUUUUUUUAGACGUUUUGCUCUUUUGAUGUUGUAGCCGUGAGGACAAGCGUGACGUGGCUUGAGUUUGAUGACUAGAUGAACUCACUACAGAGCCCGCAUGACCGGAAUGAUGUGAUACUAGCAUUUUCGAAACAUCUGAUCGACUUGUCAUUAGUUAGACUUGAAUUCUAUUAAGACGAUUCACCAUCACUGCGUCAGAACACUAAGCCAGAUGUUUUAAAAAAGUUGAUCCUUUUAUUCAAAUUAUUAUUUUACCGCAAUGACUAAA